rnacentral:rRNA from 1 species
UAGAUACCCUGGUAGUCCACGCAGUAAACGAUGAUUACUAGCUGUUAGCGAUAUAUUGUUAGUGGCUAAGCGAAAGCGAUAAGUAAUCCACCUGGGGAGUACGUUCGCAAGAAUGAAACUCAAAGGAAUUGACGGGGGCCCGCACAAGCGGAGGAACAUGUGGUUUAAUUCGAUGAUACGCGAGGAACCUUACCCGGGCUUGAAAUGCUAUCGACCGACGGAGAGAUUCGUUAUCCAGCAAUGGCGAUAG